rnacentral:lncRNA from 1 species
CUUUUUCUCCGUUUUGCAGCUCCGCCACCCAAGGAGCUUCCUCCAGCGCCUCCUCUUGUGUUUUUUCCUUUUCCUUAGUCACGGUUUUUCCCCAUCCGCCACCCUUUCUGGUUUCUCCCUCUAGCAAUGAAAUCAAUUUUUUAAACCAAUUUCUUCUGGCUAUCCAUCAAUCUCUCGAAGAAAGAAAAAUGGGUUUUUCUUCUUUUCUCUGUUUUUGCUGUUCUUUCUUGCUUGCUUUUCUUUCGUCCCCAAAAUUCCGCCGCCGUCCUCUUCAGCUCUCAAGCCUUUUUUUCCUUUUUGUU